rnacentral:rRNA from 1 species
UACAGAGGGUGCAAGCGUUGUUCGGAAUUACUGGGCGUAAAGCGCGUGUAGGCGGCGUCGUUAGUCGGAUGUGAAAGCCCUCGGCUCAACCGAGGAAGUGCAUCCGAUACUGCGAUGCUUGAGUGUUGGAGGGGUGGCGGAAGUUCCCGGUGUAGAGGUGAAAUUCGUAGAUAUCGGGAGGAACACCUGUGGCGAAGGCGGCCACCUGGACAACAACUGACGCUGAGACGCGAAAGCGUGGGGAGCGAACAGGAU